rnacentral:rRNA from 1 species
CAAGGAAUUUUCGGCAAUGGGCGCAAGCCUGACCGAGCAACGCCGCGUGGAGGACGACGGCCUUCGGGUUGUAAACUCCUUUUCGGGGGGACGAUACAGACGGUACCCCCGGAAUAAGGCUCGGCUAACUCUGUGCCAGCAGCCGCGGUAAGACAGAGGAGCCAAGCGUUGUCCGGAUUGACUGGGCGUAAAGCGCACGCAGGCGGCCGCGCGCGUGGGGUGUGAAAACCGCUGGCUUAACUGGCGGAGGCCACCUCAUACGGCGCGGCUCGAGCCGUGCAGAGGUCCGUGGAAUUGCCGGUGUAGUGGUGAAAUGCGUAGAGAUCGGCAGGAACACCAAGGGGGAAACCAGCGGACUGGGCACGUGCUGACGCUCAGGUGCGAAAGCGUGGGGAGCGAACUGG